CUGCCUGCACAGGAACAUUUUUUGCGGGACCACCUGGGCCACCAGGACCCCCAGGGCCUAAGGGAGUGACAGGUGCCCAAGGUCCAAGAGGAUACCAGGGAGAACCAGGUCAACCUGGCCUUCCAGGUAGUUCCGGUAGAGUUAUCUCUGAAUAUGGUGUGGCUCAAGGUCCAUCUGGUCCCCCAGGACCUCCUGGACCACCCGGACGAGAUGGCCGU
rnacentral:lncRNA from 1 species